rnacentral:rRNA from 1 species
GGACGAACGCUGGCGGCGCGCCUAACACAUGCAAGUCGAGCGGGAAGCUUUUUAAGGAUUCUUCGGAUGGAAUUAAAAAGUGGAGAGCGGCGGACGGGUGAGUAACGCGUGAGAAACCUGCCCUAUACAGGGGGAUAGGCCAUUGGAAACGAUGAUUAAUACCCCAUAUGACCACAGUAUCGCAGUGAUACAGCGGUGAAAACUCCGGUGGUAUAGGGAUGGGUCUCGCGUCUGAUUAGCUAGUUGGUGGGUAACGGCUACCAAGGCACGAUCAGUAGCCGGCCUGAGAGGGUGAC